rnacentral:rRNA from 1 species
CUUACACAUGCAAGUCGAACGGUAGAGUAGCAAUACUCGAGAGUGGCGAACGGGUGAGUAAUAUAUCGGAACGUGCCCAGUCGUGGGGGAUAACGUAGAGAAAUUUACGCUAAUACCGCAUACGAUCUAAGGAUGAAAGCGGGGGAUCGCAAGACCUCGCGCGAUUGGAGCGGCUGAUAUCAGAUUAGGUUGUUGGUGAGGUAAAAGCUCACCAAGCCGACGAUCUGUAGCUGGUUUGAGAGAACGACCAGCCACACUGGGACUGAGACACGGCCCAGACUCCUACGGGAGGCAGCAGUGGGGAAUUUUGGACAAUGGGCGAAAGCCUGAUCCAGCAAUGCCGCGUGCAGGAAGAAGGCCUUCGGGUUGUAAACUGCUUUUGUACGGAACGAAACGGUCUGCUUUAAUACAGUGGGCUAAUGACGGUACCGUAAGAAUAAGCACCGGCUAACUACGUGCCAGCAGCCGCGGUAAUACGUAGGGUGCGAGCGUUAAUCGGAAUUACUGGGCGUAAAGCGUGCGCAGGCGGUUAUAUAAGACAGUUGUGAAAUCCCCGGGCUCAACCUGGGAAUUGCAUCUGUGACUGUAUAGCUAGAGUACGGUAGAGGGGGAUGGAAUUCCGCGUGUAGCAGUGAAAUGCGUAGAUAUGCGGAGGAACACCGAUGGCGAAGGCAAUCCCCUGGACCUGUACUGACGCUCAUGCACGAAAGCGUGGGGAGCAAACAGGAUUAGAUACCCUG